GGGUGGGGUAGAGAGUAGGGGGCGGUAGUCGGGGGUGGUGGGAGAAGGAGGAGGCGGCUAAUCACUUAUAAAUGGCGCCGAAGCAGGACCCGAAGCCUAAAUUCCAGGAGGGUGAGUGAGUACUGUGCUUUCAUGGGCCUCUUCUUUAUGAAGCAAAGUGUUUAAAGGUUGCCAUAAAGGACAAACAAGUGAAAUACUUUAUACAUUACAGUGGUUGGAAUAAAAAUUGGGAUGAAUGGGUUCCAGAGAGCAGAGUCCUCAAAUAUGUGGACACCAAUCUGCAGAAACAGCGAGAACUUCAAAAAGCCAAUCAGGAGCAGUAUGCAGAGAGGAAGAUGAGAGGGGCUACUCCAGGAAAGAAGACAUCUGGUCUGCAACAGAAAAAUGUUGAAGUGAAAACAAAGAAGAAUAAGCAGAAAACACCUGGAAAUGGAGACGGUGGCAGUACCAGUGAGACACCUCAACCUCCUCGGAAGAAAAGGGCCUGGGUAGAUCCUACUGUUGAAAAUGAAGAAACAUUCAUGAACAGAGUUGAAGUUAAAGUAAAGAUUCCUGAAGAGCUAAAACCUUGGCUUGUUGAUGACGGGGACUUAAUUACCAGGCAAAAACAGCUCUUUUAUCUUCCUGCUAAGAAGAAGUGGAUUCCAUUCUGGAGGAUUAUGCAAAUUACAAGAAAUCUCGUGGAAACACAGAUAAUAAGGAGUAUGCUGUUAAUGAAGUUGUGGCAGGGAUAAAAGAAUACUUCAAUGUAAUGUUGGGCACUCAGCUCCUGUACAAAUUUGAGCGGCCACAGUAUGCUGAAAUUCUUGCAGAUCACCCUGAUGCACCCAUGUUCCAAGUAUAUGGAGCACCACAUCUACUGAGAUUAUUUGUACGAAUUGGAGCGAUGUUGGCCUAUACACCUUUGGAUGAAAAAAGCCUUGCCUUAUUACUGAACUAUCUUCAUGAUUUCCUAAAGUAUCUGGCAAAGAAUUCUGCAACCUUGUUUAGUGCCAGUGAUUAUGAAGUGGCUCCUCCUGAGUACCAUCGGAAAACUGUGUGAAAGAUGGUCUCACUCGUAUAUGUUUGGAUCUCUGUAAACACAUUUUUGUUCUUAGUCUUUCUCUUUACAAACGAUGUACUUUGAAGAUGUUAGUGUAUAACAGAAUUGAUGUUUGUUUUUUGUUUGAUUUUAAACAGAGAAAAUAAAAGGGGUUAUAGCUCCUUUUUUCUUUUCUUUCAUUUCAAAGUUGCUACCAGUGUAUUCAGUGAUGGAUAACAGAAAGACAAGCUGUAGAGUGUUUUAUUGCCUAGUUGACAAAGCUGCUUUUGAAUACUGGUGGUUCUAUUCCUUUGACACUACGCACUUUUGUAAUAUGUGUUAAUGCUAUAGGACAAAAUGCUCUGAUUCCUAUUGCCAAAGGUUCAAUUCAGUGUGUAUAACUGCACACACUCAUCCAUUUGUGCUUUUUUUUUUUUUAUGGUGCUUAAAGUAAAGAGCUCAUCCUUUGCAAGUCAUCCAUGUUGUUCCUUAGGCAUUUUAUCUUUGCUCAAAUUGUUGAAGAAUGGUGGCUUGUUUCAUGGUUUUUGUAUUUGUGUCUAAUGCACAUUUUAACAUGAUAGACACAAUGCAUUGUGUGGCUAGUUUUCUGGAAAAGUCAAUCUUUUAAGAAUUGUUUUUCAGAUCUUCAAUAAAUUUUUUCUUUAAAUUUCAAAAAAAA